rnacentral:rRNA from 1 species
UACGUAGGGUGCGAGCGUUGUCCGGAAUUAUUGGGCGUAAAGGGCUCGUAGGCGGUUUGUCACGUCGGGAGUGAAAACUCGGGGCUUAACCCCGAGCCUGCUUCCGAUACGGGCAGACUAGAGGUAUGCAGGGGAGAACGGAAUUCCUGGUGUAGCGGUGAAAUGCGCAGAUAUCAGGAGGAACACCGAUGGCGAAGGCAGGUCUCUGGGCAUUAACUGACGCUGAGGAGCGAAAGCAUGGGGAGCGAACAGG